rnacentral:lncRNA from 1 species
AGCCAAUGCCCACUGUGAUCAAACUCAAUAGGAAGCUAGAUGGGAAGGGAGCUUGCUGAUGCCAUCCACACGGAUCAUCCUUGGAGGUGCAGGGCAGGGUGAAGAAGUGUGGAAGGAGGUCUGGAGAUGCUCAGAGCUGUGUCCUCCUCAAACUUUACAAUAGAGCUCAGAUCCACUCAGUCAAAUGCCAGAGAAGAAGAAAGAAGAAAGGAGACUCCUGUGGAUGCUCAGGUCCAUGUAAAAGGGCAUGAAAGAACUUCUGGCUUAGGGAAGAUGAGAUGUAGACCCAUUACUCUCUGUUCCUCUUUGUGAAGCACAGCUACAAACUCUGGAAUUAAUGCAAGAGGCAGCCAAAGGGGAACUGUGAAAGAUGUUAAGAAGAAAACUGGCUUUCAAUGCUAGAAAAGGAGGAAAUUCACAGCAGAAUACAAUCUUAUGUUCCCUUACCCAACAGAAGACAGCAACUCAGACACAACAUUCCACAACCCCUGACCCAGCGACUGAAGGAAGCUCAGUCAGGCUUAUUCCUCCCCUGGAUAGAUUAGGAGAGCUUGUGCUAUCAAUCAAGGCUAACAUAAUUGUCAAGAAACAUUAAUCAAAAGUCCCACAAAAAAUAAGUGGCCAAAGUGUUCUUCUCUGACAUGCCUAAGACUUUUCUCUGUUAUUGACAAAUAUCAAGGUGGUAGGCUAUAUCAGUAAGAGGAACUCAGGCACAAAAGUGACCUAGUUCAGGAAACCUUUUCUCUUUUGUGGGUCUGAGACUUCCCUCAUUUAUGUGAACACAUCAGGUGGCCCUGCCUGAGUAACCACCUACUACCCUCUCAGCCAGCACCAACAAGUACCAGGGAAGCUUCAGUAGCAAAGAUAAACCAAGCACAGCAAAAUAAUACUGCAAUAACUUUGAAAAUUAAAGUGUUUUUGGAACCACACUCCAUAAAAAUAGUACAGGACCUUUAUGUGAACUUGAAACAGCAUGAUUACUUGCUAAAAUAAGAUUUGAAUGAGACCCUGAGUAUUCUAAUAUAACAAACAAAAUGACCAGGAUGCAAAAGAAAAUCAUCUGUCAUACAAAAAAAAAAAAAACCAGAAAAUCACAACUGAAUGAAUAAAGGCAAUCGACUGAUGGCAAUACUGAGAUGAAUCCGAUCUUGAAAAGCAUUUUAAAUCAGUCAUCAUAAAAAUGACUGAAUAAUUAAGAAAUUCCAUUAAAAUAAAUUCCAUUAAAACAAAAAAAUAGAAAUUAGAAAAUAAAAAGAAGUUGCUUAUAAAGAACUAAUGGACAUUAUAAAACUGAAAAAUACUCUAAUACAAAUUAAAAGCUCGCUAGAUGGGCUUGAUAGUAGAGUGGAGAUGACAAAGGUUAGAAUCAGUAAACUUGAGGAUAUGACAAUGAAUUUAGCCCAUGUAAACAACAGAGAUAAAAUAUACUGAAUAAAAAACAAAGAGGGACUUACAGGACAAUAAUGAAAGAUCCAACACUUGUAUUAUCAGAAUUCCACAUGGAAGAGAGAGAGGGAGAGUGGUGCUGAACGAGUCUCAUAAAAGUAAUGGAAAUAGUCUUCUACAUUUGGGGAAAUAUACAAGAUUUAAGACACUGACUUAAACUCAGAUAGGAUAUCCAUGACAAGACACACUGUAUUGAACUUCUGAAAACUGGCGUCAGAGAAAAAAGAAUUGAAAGGAGCCAGAGAAAAUCCAAAGGGGAAAACUGAUUUGAAUGACAUAAUCUGAAACCAUGGUAGCCAGAAGGAACUGGCAAAAAAAAAUGUUCAUGUGUUGAGACAAAAGUCAACUAUAAACUCUACUACCAGCAAAAUUAUUCCUUAGAAAUGAGGAGAAUAUAAAGACAUUCUUAGAUAAAGAGAAAUUAAAAUAAUCUAUACUAGCAAAUCUGUUCUUAAAAAUAGCAAAAGGAAAUUCUUUAAACAGAAAGAAAAUGGUAAAGAAUCUUGGAGAACCAGGAAAAAAUAAAGAUACAAUGAAAAAAAGCAGACAUGUAAGUACAUAAAAUAGAUUAUCUUUUUUCUAUUGUGUUUGACAAAACAUAUCUGAUGACUGAAACAAAAAAUUAUUAUAAUACCAUGUGAUAUUCAGUACAAUAAUAUUUAAAAGUGAAGAGAUUUAGAGUCCAGGAAAUUACCAGAGAUAAAGGGAGAUAUGGAGCAAUUAUAAAAAGAUCAUUCUACCAAGAAGACAUACCAAUUUGAAGUGUGUACAUGGCUAACAAUGGAGCCUCAAAAUAUGUGAAGCAAAAACUGAAAGAUUUAAAAGGAGAAAUAGACAACAACUCAACAUGCCAUCUCAGCAACUGGUAGAGCUAGUGAACAUAAAAUUAGCAAAGACAUGGAAUAUUUAAGUAACAAACACAGUCAAGAAUAUAAUUGACAUUAUAGAAUGGUCCCCUAACAACAGCAGAACACACAUUUUUUUCGAGUGUCCAAGGAAGUUUUCCAAGAUAGACCACAUCAUAUCUUAUGUAUCAAAUUUUAACAAAUUUAAAAGAAUUUAAGUUAUACAGAGUGUAUUCAAUGACAAUAAUGGUAUCAAUCUAGAAAUAAUAAAAGAAAGAUAGCAGUGAAAUCUCUGAAAAUGUAAAAAUUCAAAACAUACUUUUAAAUAAUCUUUGUAUAUCUAAAAGGAAACAAGAAUACUCAUAGAACUAAAUGAAAGGGAAAGAAAUAUCAAAAAUAUGUGGGAUACAGCUAAAGCAGUGUUGAGAGAGAAAUUUAUAGCAUGAAAUUCUUAUGCUAGAAAUGAGAAAAGUUUUCAAAGCAAUCAUCUAAGACACCAUACCUCAAGAAAUUAGAAAAGAAAGCAAAAUCAUCCCAAAGCAAGCAGAAGGAAUGAAAGGGCAGAAAUCAACACAAUUUAGACUAGGAAGUGAAUAAUUAAUGGAAUCAAAACCUGACCACAUGGAGGAACCUGAAAGGCAUCAUGCUAAGUGAAAUAAGCCAGGCACAGAAAGACAAAUGCCAAAUGAUCUCACUUGUGAGUGGAAUCUAGAACAUCAAACUCACAGAAGCAGAGGAUAAGAGAGUGGUGGCCAGAAACUGACAAGGGGGUUGUGUGGCAGGUGAAGAAAAUAGAUGUUAGUCCAAGGGUACAAACUUUUAGUUGUGUUGGAUGAAUAAUAACUAAGCACAGUGACUACAGCUAACGAUGCUGUGUUGUGUACUUGAAACUUGCUAAGAGAUUAAAUUUUAAAUGUCUUUACCGCAAACACACACAAAAGUAGCUUUACAAAGUGAUGGAUAUAUUAAUUAACCUGACUGUGGUAGCCAUUUAACAAUAUCUACCUAUAACAAACAUCACAUUGUACAUCUUAAAUGUAUACAAUUUCAUUUGUCAAUUAUAGCUCAAUAAUCCUAGAAGAAAAAUAAUUUGUUCAUAUAUUUCAUAAAAUUCCAACAAUGUAUAAAAAGAAUUAUGCCCCGUGAACAAGUGGAAUUUAUUUCUAGUAUGCAAGACUGGUUCAACAUUGCGAAUCAAUGAAUAUAAUCCACAACAUCAACAGCGUAUUGAAAAAUUAUAUGAUUAUAUCAAUAUAGAAAUAAUAUUUGAUAAAAUCUAACUUUUUUUCAAGAUAAGAAUUCCCUGAAAGUUGGAAUUAGAGGGAUAUUACCCCAAAUGAUAAAAAUUACCUACCAAAUUCUAUAGCUAAAAUAUUUAUUAAUUAUAAAAUAUUAUUAAGUGAUUUCCCCUAAGAUUAGAAGCAGAAGAAGGAUGUCUUCUCUCACUAUUCGUAUUCCUUAGAGUACUGGAAAUACAAGACAUUGUAACAAACCAACAAAGAAACUAUAAAGACAUAUAGAUUGGAAAGAAACAAAAAAAAUUGGCAUUAUUGUCUAUGAGAAAAUCCCAAGGAAUCUACAAAAAAAAAUCUUCUUAGACUACGAAGUCAGUUCCGCAAGAUUGCAGAAUACAAGAUCAAAACAAAAUCAUCAACUGCAUUUCUGUAUAAUAAAAAUGAACUUGCAGAAACUGAAAGUAAAGAUAAAACACCAUUUUUAAUUGAUUCAAAGAAAAUGAAAUAGCUAGGUAUAGUCUCAAUGAAACAUGCACAGUAUCUGUGUAAUAAAAAUUCAAAAUGCUGAUAAAAUAAAGAUCUAAAUAAAUGAAGAAACAUACAACUUUCAUAGAUUAAAAGCCUUAGCAUGGGUAAAGUAGGCAAUCCUCCCCAAAUUAAUGUAUAUAUUUAAUGCAAUUUCUAUCAAGAGACAUUUCAACAAAGAGGAUAUACAGAUAGCAAAUAAGCACCUAAAAACAUUUUGAAUACUAUUAGUCAUCUACAAUAUAAAACCAAACCACAAUGAGAUAUCACAAUGCUUUUGCUAGACAUAGACACAUUUAUUUCACAAUUUUUAGGAUAAACCACUGCCCCUAGAAUACAUUAAAAAAAUUUAGAAAGAAUAAUAAAGUAACAGAAAUCACUUUAACUGAGAUUAAGUUUUACUAUAGAGUUACAGUAAUCAAGACAGUGUUCUAUGUUACAGAAACAGACAAACAAAUCAAUGGAACACAAUAGAGAAACCAGGAUUAGCCCCAAGCAAAUAUGCUCAACAAAUUUUUGACAGACGUGCCAAGGCAAUUCAACAGAAGAAAGAAAGCUUUUCAACAGUUAGUACUAUAGCAAUUAGAAAACCAUAGGCAAAAUUGAACUGUAGCUUAAAUCUCACAUUUUAUACAAAAUUUGCUCAAAAUGAAUAAUGAAUCAACAUAAAAUAUUUAACCACAAAAUCUUAAAAAACGGAUAAUUUUUGGUGAUCUAGGCGUAGGCAAACAUUUCAUAUGAAGUCCAAACUUAACGUUAAGGUCAUGGUUUAGAAAAGGAAAAUUUGAUAAAUAGGACCUCAUCAAAAUAAAAAAUAUUGCUCUGCAAAAGACCCUUUUGAGAGAAUAAAAAGAUAAGCUCCAGAGUGGGAGAAAAUACUUGCAAAUCACAUAUGUGACAAAGAACUACUAUCUAUGCUAUAUAAAGAAGUCUCAUAAACCCUACAGUUCAAAGCUUUCACACUAAAAUCAGGAGCAAGGCAAGAAUGUUUCCUCUCACUGCUGCUUUUCAACAUCCAAUUGGAAAUCCUAUCUAAUGCAAUAAGACAAGAAUUGGAAACAGUAUACUGAUUGAUAGAGAAGGAGGAAAUAAACUGUCUUUGUUUGCAGAUGACAUGAUCAUCUUUGUAAAAGUUCCCAGAGAAUCAAUUUGAAAAUAUCUUUUGAAAGGAGAUUAUUGUAAUAACUUGUUAAUAAAUGAUUAUAGCAAGUUUGCAGGUUAAUGUACAAAAGUCAGUUACCUAUACACCAACUACCAAAAAUGAACAAUUGAAGUUUGAAAUUAAAAACAUAUUACCCUUUACAUUAG